UACGAAGGGUGCAAGCGUUACUCGGAAUUACUGGGCGUAAAGCGUGCGUAGGUGGUUCGUUAAGUCUGUCGUGAAAGCCCCGGGCUCAACCUGGGAAUGGCGAUGGAUACUGGCGGGCUAGAGUGCGGUAGAGGAGAGUGGAAUUCCCGGUGUAGCAGUGAAAUGCGCAGAUAUCAGGAGGAACACCAAUUGCGAAGGCAGCUCGCUGGGACGUGACUGACGCUGAGACGCGAAAGCGUGGGGAGCGAACAGG
rnacentral:rRNA from 1 species